rnacentral:rRNA from 1 species
GAUGAACGCUGGCGGCGUGCCUAAUACAUGCAAGUCGAGCGAACAGACGAGGAGCUUGCUCCUCUGACGUUAGCGGCGGACGGGUGAGUAACACGUGGAUAACCUACCUAUAAGACUGGGAUAACUUCGGGAAACCGGAGCUACUACCGGAUAAUAUUUGAACCGCAUGGUUCAAUAGUGAAAGACGGUUUUGCUGUCACUUAUAGAUGGAUCCGCGCCGCAUUAGCUAGUUGGUAAGGUAACGGCUUACCAAGGCAACGAUGCGUAGCCGACCUGAGAGGGUGAUCGGCCACACUGGAACUGAGACACGGUCCAGACUCCUACGGGAGGCAGCAGUAGGGAAUCUUCCGCAAUGGGCGAAAGCUUGACGGAGCAACGCCGCGUGAGUGAUGAAGGUCUUCGGAUCGUAAAACUCUGUUAUUAGGGAAGAACAAAUGUGUAAGUAACUAUGCACGUCUUGACGGUACCUAAUCAGAAAGCCACGGCUAACUACGUG